UUAUUAAUAUGUUACUAUUUUGGCAGAAAAGUGCCAUGAAUUUAGAAUUCAUAAAUGUAAGUUUAAUCUUA
rnacentral:tRNA from 1 species